rnacentral:rRNA from 1 species
GAUGAACGCUGGCGGCGUGCCUAAUACAUGCAAGUCGAGCGAACAGACGAGGAGCUUGCUCCUCUGACGUUAGCGGCGGACGGGUGAGUAACACGUGGAUAACCUACCUAUAAGACUGGGGUAACUUCGGGAAACCGGAGCUAAUACCGGAUAAUAUAUUGAACCGCAUGGUUCAAUAGUGAAAGACGGUUUUGCUGUCACUUAUAGAUGGAUCCGCGCCGCAUUAGCUAGUUGGUAAGGUAACGGCUUACCAAGGCAACGAUGCGUAGCCGACCUGAGAGGGUGAUUGGCCACACUGGAUCUGAGACACGGUCCAGACUCCUACGGGAGGCAGCAGUAGGGAAUCUUCCGCGAUGGGCGAAAGCCUGACCGAGCAACGCCGCGUGAGUGAUGAAGGUCUUCGGAUCGUAAAACUCUGUUAUUAGGAAAGAACAAAUGUGUAAGUAACUAUGCACGUCUUGACGGUACCUAAACAGAAAGCCACGGCUAACUACGUG